rnacentral:rRNA from 1 species
GAUGAACGCUGGCGGCGUGCCUAAUACAUGCAAGUCGAGCGAACAGAUGAGGAGCUUGCUCCUCUGACGUUAGCGGCGGACGGGUGAGUAACACGUGGAUAACCUACCUAUAAGACUGGGAUAACUUCGGGAAACCGGAGCUAAUACCGGAUAAUAUAUUGAACCGCAUGGUUCAAUAGUGAAAGACGGUUUUGCUGUCACUUAUAGAUGGAUCCGCGCCGCAUUAGCUAGUUGGUAAGGUAACGGCUUACCAAGGCAACGAUGCGUAGCCGACCUGAGAGGGUGGUCGGCCACCCUGGAACUGAGCCACGGUCCAGACUCCUACGGGAGGCAGCAGUAGGGAAUCUUCCGCAAUGGGCGAAAGCCUGACGGAGCAACGCCGCGUGAGUGAUGAAGGUCUUCGGAUCGUAAAACUCUGUUAUUAGGGAAGAACAAAUGUGUAAGUAACUAUGCACGUAUUGACGGUACCUAAUCAGAAAGCCACGGCUAACUACGUG